rnacentral:sRNA from 1 species
CUCCUUGGGGCUGAGUGGCGGAGGCAGCCCCUGCGCGGGAACCCCCAUGAUCCGGAUAACAGAAGGCUCUGUGAUAAGGUGCAGCUUGCACCAGAAGGAGGCCAGCAUCUUCUGCAGAAGGCUGGGGUGCGGCCCGGCGCUCCAGCAUCCAGGCCCCACCUCACAGGGCACCCAGGCUGGCUGGGCUCGAAAAUCAUUUCCUGCCAGGGAACAGAGUCCAGCAUCUUCAACUGCAGGUUCAACCUGAACUUCCUGGACCUCUGUGACCUCCCAACAGACUCUGAGGUGGUGUGUGCAGGUAGAAAAGGCAGGAGAAGUUCCUGAGGACCCUGGGGAGCCCCUCAACGGAGCUCUGGCACGCGGGCUCCUGGGGCACCGUGUGCGACGAUGGCUGGGACCUGGCAGACGCGGAGGUCGUGUGCCGCCAGCUGGGCUGUGGUCGGGCCGUCGCCGCCCUGGGGGCCGCCGCCUUUGGCCCUGGCUCCGGGCCCGUGUGGCUGGACGAGGUGGGGUGCCGGGGCAGCGAGGCGUCCCUGUGGGGCUGCCCUUCGGAGCGGUGGGGACGCGGAGGCUGCGCGCACAAGGAGGACGCAGGCCUGCGCUGCUGGGAAAACAGUUAACCACAGUGAUGACCUUAGCAAAAAUAGCAGCAGUGAGCCUGGCCCAGGCCCCCCGCUGCCUGCAGCUCCCAUCCGGACAUUGUGGGCGGUCAGUGUCGUCCUGCAGCUCCCAUCCGGACAUUCUGGGCGGUCAGUGUCGUCCUGGGAGCCCUUCUUGGUCUUCUCCUUCUGGGCCUUAUGGCCUUUCUGAUUCUGCCUCGAGUCACACAAGCCAUGCAGAGGGGUCUAGGAAGAUCCGAGGCAUCUCUUGGAGAAGCCAUCUAUGAUGUCAUUGGGGAAAUGCCGCUAGCAGGACUGUACGAGGAAAUCAUGGAGGCCGAGGCCGAGGCCAUGCUCCAAGAUGAGGAGGACGAGGGUGUGGUGAAGGUGGACACAGAAGCCGCAGGCUGAAGUACAGUGGUGUGAUCUUGGCUCACUGCAACCUCUGUCUCCCAGGUUCAAGCAAUUCUCCUGCCUCAGCCUCCAGAGUAGCUGGGAUUACAGAAAGAAAGAAAGAACAAAAAGAAGAGAAGGAGAGUAAAUUCUUGUUUCCAAGUUAGACAAGAGAGUUAUGAUUAAAUGCCACCUUAGGUCCACAAGUCUUCCAUAAGAAAAACAAUGAAAGGAUUUCUGGAUGAUUCUAUUAUGACAUCACAACUUGCAGCAGAGGCAGAUGUAAUGAGGCAAUACUUGACAUUGUUUUCCCAUUGCUCGUGUCCUCGGUCUCUUGCCUCGGCACCUGGGUGGCUUGCCGCCCACAGCAAUUGUGACUUUGAAAGGCCAUUCCACCGUUCUAUCAAUCCAGCUGCUUCAGGAUAAUGGGCAACAUGGUAAGACCAGUGAAUUCCAUGAGCAUGAGCCCACUGCUGCGCUUCUUUAGCCGUAAAGAUAGACAAGAGAAGCACUUCCAGAAUGGCAGGAUAAGAAGCUCUGAAAAUCUGUUCCUCCAGAACGGCAAUGUGAACACCAGCAAAAGUGUUGAAAAAUGAAUGGAGCCUCAGAGACCUUUGGGGCAUCAUCAAGGGUAUCUAACAGGUACAAUGGGAAUCACAGAAAGAGAGAAAAUAAGGGGACAAAAAUACUAUUUGAAGAAAUAAUGGGUGUAAAUUCCCCAAAUUUGAUGAAAAAGAUCCAUCUACAUAUCCAAAAGCUUAAUAAAUGAAUAUUCAUUUGUU